GUUGGCUGUGGCCGCUUUGGGGCUUGGUGGAGCCGCGGGGCCUGGCGGGGUGAUGAGGGACUAUGGACUGGAAGGGCUGGGAGGGCCUUGCCGGGCGUGUGUGAAUGUGUGUGUCGUCGGGGGACGUCUCCCUCGGGUGGCCGGUGCGUCGGGGCUAGGAGACGUGGCGCUCUGAAGGAGUGCCGGGGAUGGACUCGCGUGGAAGCGUGGGGAAGCGGUCACGGGGUCCAAGGCCGAGCCGUCGUGGGAGCUGUAGGGUUUUUCCCGCUGCUUGUGGAGAAGGAGGUUCCCGCCUCAUCCCCCAGCCCCAUGUUGCCAGGUGUCGGCCAGCGUCGGUGCCCGGCGGCGCCUCCGCGAGAACCCGGAAGUAGAAGUCCCCUGAGUGCCAUUCCUCCUUUCCUACUAAUUGGGUGCUUCGGAGCACCUGAGGUUGUGUUUACCGGGCGAGGGAUAUUCUCGAGGCUGAUGUGAGAAACAGGGUGGCCUCCUACUGGCAACCAGCCAUAGAGCAAGACCCUCAGCCAGACAAGCCGCAAGCACUGGGUCCUGCUGAUAAGCCUGUGAGUUUGGAAACAGGUCCCUCCUAGGUCCCUCCAGUCUGACUGCUGCAUUGCAAGAGCCAUUCCAGCCAAGUUGUGCCCGCUUUCUGAUCUUCAGAAGCCUUAAUGCCUCCUCGUGGAAGGAAUGUCACUUUGUGUAAUCAGAUUACAGAAGCUUCUGACUUCAAGACAAGUUGCUGUGUUGAAAAGGCACACAAGGCAAGGAGCUAAGGGCAGCCUCUGGCCAACAGGCAGCUAAGGCCCCUCAAUGCAACAAGCAAAAGGAACUGAACGCUGCCUGCCACCUUGCACGUGAGCUGGUAGGUGAACCCUUCCUCAGCGGAGCUUCCUGAUGAGGCCCCAGCCGGUGCUCACACUGAUUGCAGCCUAGAGGACCUAGCGAAACUGCCGGGACUCCUUAUUCACAGGUGCUGUAAGAUAAUGUGCUUUAAUUGUGAUGCUUGUGGUAAUUUGUUAUCCAGCUGUUGAGCUAGUAUACCUGUCAUAUUGCCAGCA